UAAAUUUUAGUUUAAUUUAAAAAUUUUUUUUUUACAAAAAAAAGAUAUUAUUUAUUAAUAAAUUUAA
rnacentral:tRNA from 1 species